rnacentral:rRNA from 1 species
CGAACGCUGGCGGCAGGCCUAAUACAUGCAAGUCGAACGGCUCUUCGGAGCAGUGGCGGACGGGUGAGUAACGCGUGGGAAUGUGCCCUUUGGUACGGAACAACACAGGGAAACUUGUGCUAAUACCGUAUGUGCCCUUCGGGGGAAAGAUUUAUCGCCAUUGGAGCAGCCCGCGUUGGAUUAGGUAGUUGGUGAGGUAAAGGCUCACCAAGCCUACGAUCCAUAGCUGGUCUGAGAGGAUGACCAGCCACACUGGGACUGAGACACGGCCCAGACUCCUACGGGAGGCAGCAGUGGGGAAUCUUGCGCAAUGGGCGAAAGCCUGACGCAGCCAUGCCGCGUGGAUGAUGAAGGUCUUAGGAUUGUAAAAUCCUUUCACCAGUGAAGAUAAUGACUGUAGCCGGAGAAGAAGCCCCGGCUAACUUCGUGCCAGCCGCCGCUGUAACAC